rnacentral:rRNA from 1 species
GAGCCGAAGGGAAACCGAGUCUUAACUGGGCGUUAAGUUGCAGGGUAUAGACCCGAAACCCGGUGAUCUAGCCAUGGGCAGGUUGAAGGUUGGGUAACACUAACUGGAGGACCGAACCGACUAAUGUUGAAAAAUUAGCGGAUGACUUGUGGCUGGGGGUGAAAGGCCAAUCAAACCGGGAGAUAGCUGGUUCUCCCCGAAAGCUAUUUAGGUAGCGCCUCGUGAAUUCAUCUCCGGGGGUAGAGCACUGUUUCGGCAAGGGGGUCAUCCCGACUUACCAACCCGAUGCAAACUGCGAAUACCGGAGAAUGUUAUCACGGGAGACACACGGCGGGUGCUAACGUCCGUCGUGAAGAGGGAAACAACCCAGACCGCCAGCUAAGGUCCCAAAGUCAUGGUUAAGUGGGAAACGAUGUGGGAAGGCCCAGACAGCCAGGAUGUUGGCUUAGAAGCAGCCAUCAUUUAAAGAAAGCGUAAUAGCUCACUGGUCGAGUCGGCCUGCGCGGAAGAUGUAACGGGGCUAAACCAUGCACCGAAGCUGCGGCAGCGACGCUGAUGCGUUGUUGGGUAGGGGAGCGUUCUGUAAGCCUGUGAAGGUGUGCUGUGAGGCAUGCUGGAGGUAUCAGAAGUGCGAAUGCUGACAUAAGUAACGAUAAAGCGGGUGAAAAGCCCGCUCGCCGGAAGACCAAGGGUUCCUGUCCAACGUUAAUCGGGGCAGGGUGAGUCGACCCCUAAGGCGAGGCCGAAAGGCGUAGUCGAUGGGAAACAGGUUAAUAUUCCUGUACUUGGUGUUACUGCGAAGGGGGGACGGAGAAGGCUAUGUUGGCCGGGCGACGGUUGUCCCGGUUUAAGCGUGUAGGCUGGUUUUCCAGGCAAAUCCGGAAAACUAAGGCUGAGGCGUGAUGACGAGGCACUACGGUGCUGAAGCAACAAAUGCCCUGCUUCCAGGAAAAGCCUCUAAGCAUCAGGUAACAUCAAAUCGUACCCCAAACCGACACAGGUGGUCAGGUAGAGAAUACCAAGGCGCUUGAGAGAACUCGGGUGAAGGAACUAGGCAAAAUGGUGCCGUAACUUCGGGAGAAGGCACGCUGAUAUGUAGGUGAAGUCCCUCGCGGAUGGAGCUGAAAUCAGUCGAAGAUACCAGCUGGCUGCAACUGUUUAUUAAAAACACAGCACUGUGCAAACACGAAAGUGGACGUAUACGGUGUGACGCCUGCCCGGUGCCGGAAGGUUAAUUGAUGGGGUCAGCGCAAGCGAAGCUCUUGAUCGAAGCCCCGGUAAACGGCGGCCGUAACUAUAACGGUCCUAAGGUAGCGAAAUUCCUUGUCGGGUAAGUUCCGACCUGCACGAAUGGCGUAAUGAUGGCCAGGCUGUCUCCACCCGAGACUCAGUGAAAUUGAACUCGCUGUGAAGAUGCAGUGUACCCGCGGCAAGACGGAAAGACCCCGUGAACCUUUACUAUAGCUUGACACUGAACAUUGAGCCUUGAUGUGUAGGAUAGGUGGGAGGCUUUGAAGUGUGGACGCCAGUCUGCAUGGAGCCGACCUUGAAAUACCACCCUUUAAUGUUUGAUGUUCUAACGUUGACCCGUAAUCCGGGUUGCGGACAGUGUCUGGUGGGUAGUUUGACUGGGGCGGUCUCCUCCUAAAGAGUAACGGAGGAGCACGAAGGUUGGCUAAUCCUGGUCGGACAUCAGGAGGUUAGUGCAAUGGCAUAAGCCAGCUUGACUGCGAGCGUGACGGCGCGAGCAGGUGCGAAAGCAGGUCAUAGUGAUCCGGUGGUUCUGAAUGGAAGGGCCAUCGCUCAACGGAUAAAAGGUACUCCGGGGAUAACAGGCUGAUACCGCCCAAGAGUUCAUAUCGACGGCGGUGUUUGGCACCUCGAUGUCGGCUCAUCACAUCCUGGGGCUGAAGUAGGUCCCAAGGGUAUGGCUGUUCGCCAUUUAAAGUGGUACGCGAGCUGGGUUUAGAACGUCGUGAGACAGUUCGGUCCCUAUCUGCCGUGGGCGCUGGAGAACUGAGGGGGGCUGCUCCUAGUACGAGAGGACCGGAGUGGACGCAUCACUGGUGUUCGGGUUGUCAUGCCAAUGGCACUGCCCGGUAGCUAAAUGCGGAAGAGAUAAGUGCUGAAAGCAUCUAAGCACGAAACUUGCCCCGAGAUGAGUUCUCCCUGACUCCUUGAGAGUCCUGAAGGAACGUUGAAG